AACCUUCGGGGAACGAUAACGGCGUCGAGCGGCGGACGGGUGAGUAAUGCCUAGGAAAUUGCCCUGAUGUGGGGGAUAACCAUUGGAAACGAUGGCUAAUACCGCAUGAUGCCUACGGGCCAAAGAGGGGGACCUUCGGGCCUCUCGCGUCAGGAUAUGCCUAGGUGGGAUUAGCUAGUUGGUGAGGUAAGGGCUCACCAAGGCGACGAUCCCUAGCUGGUCUGAGAGGAUGAUCAGCCACACUGGAACUGAGACACGGUCCAGACUCCUACGGGAGGCAGCAGUGGGGAAUAUUGCACAAUGGGCGCAAGCCUGAUGCAGCCAUGCCGCGUGUAUGAAGAAGGCCUUCGGGUUGUAAAGUACUUUCAGUCGUGAGGAAGGUUCAUGCGUUAAUAGCGUAUGGAUUUGACGUUAGCGACAGAAGAAGCACCGGCUAACUCCGUGCCAGCAGCCGCGGUAAUACGGAGGGUGCGAGCGUUAAUCGGAAUUACUGGGCGUAAAGCGCAUGCAGGUGGUUUGUUAAGUCAGAUGUGAAAGCCCGGGGCUCAACCUCGGAAUAGCAUUUGAAACUGGCAGACUAGAGUACUGUAGAGGGGGGUAGAAUUUCAGGUGUAGCGGUGAAAUGCGUAGAGAUCUGAAGGAAUACCGGUGGCGAAGGC
rnacentral:rRNA from 1 species